AUUGAACGCUGGCGGCAUGCCUUACACAUGCAAGUCGAACGGCAGCACAGGGGCAACCCUGGUGGCGAAUGGCGAACGGGUGAGUAAUGCAUCGGAACGUGCCCAGUAGUGGGGGAUAACUAGUCGAAAGAUUAGCUAAUACCGCAUACGACCUACGGUGAAAGCGGGGGAGUUCGCAAGAACCUCGCGCUAUCGGAGCGGCCGAUGUCUGAUUAGCUAGUUGGCGGGGUAAAGACCCACCAAGGCGACGAUCAGUAGCUGGUCUGAGAGGACGACCAGCCACACUGGGACUGAGACACGGCCCAGACUCCUACGGGAGGCAGCAGUGGGGAAUUUUGGACAAUGGGCGCAAGCCUGAUCCAGCCAUGCCGCGUGCGGGAAGAAGGCCUGGUUGUAACGU
rnacentral:rRNA from 1 species